CUGCCGAUCACCUAUUUAGGCAUCCCGCUCACCACCCGUCGCCCUUCCGCGGCCCAGCUGCAACCUCUCGUCGACGCGGUGGCGGGCCGGCUCCCUACCUGGAAGGCAUGGCUGAUGAACAAGGCUGGUCGGCUGGCGCUUGUCAAGUCGGUGCUCAACGCUAUCCCAAUUCACCAAUUGCUCGCACUCGCACCCCCCAAGAAAACCCUGAAGCAACUUGAGAAGAUUCAACGAGGUUUUCUUUGGGCCGGCCGCGCGGACGCCCAUGGUGGUCACUGUCAUGUCAAUUGGCGCCGGGUCUGCCGCCCGCUCGAAUAUGGUGGCCUAGGUGUCCGGGAUCUCGAGCGCACGGGGCUCGUGCUCCGGCUACGUUGGCUAUGGCUUGCGUGUACGGACACUGAGCGCGCAUGGCAGGGGCUGGACCUGCAGUUUUCGUUCGAAGAGCGUGCCCUCUUUCAUGCCUCCACGACCAUGGCCAUUGGGGACGGCUCGACCGCCCUCUUUUGGGAGGACCGCUGGCUCGGCGGCCAGUCCGUCCGCGAGCUUGCCCCCAUGCUCUUCCAGUGCAUCCCCAAGCAUCUCCGGAAAGUGAGAACG
rnacentral:rRNA from 1 species